CUACGGGCUGCUGCAGUGAGGAAUAUUGCACAAUGGGGGGAACCCCGAUGCAGCAACGCCGCGUGGAGGAUGACGCAUUUCGGUGUGUAAACUCCUUUUAUAUGUCAAGAAAAUGACGGUAGCAUAUGAAUAAGCACCGGCUAACUCCGUGCCAGCAGCCGCGGUAAUACGGAGGGUGCAAGCGUUACUCGGAAUCACUGGGCGUAAAGGACGCGUAGGCGGGUUGGAAAGUCAGGUGUGAAAUCCUACAGCUUAACUGUAGAACUGCACUUGAAACUUCUAAUCUAGAGUAUGGGAGGGGGAGAUGGAAUUAGUGGUGUAGGGGUAAAAUCCGUAGAUAUCACUAGGAAUACCUAAAGCGAAGGCGAUCUCCUGGAGCAUUACUGACGCUAAGGCGUGAAAGCGUGGGGAGCAAACAGGAUUAGAUACCCUCGUAGUC
rnacentral:rRNA from 1 species